rnacentral:lncRNA from 1 species
CCGAGACCAUGAAGGUCUGAAUGGACUGUGAUGUUCAGUUCUCUGUUAUGUGUCCUGGAGGUUACAGAGUCCUUCGAGGAAGACCUACAAAGCCUAUGCUGGUAAACUACCAGCUGGGAAGGGAAGGGAAUAAUUUCAAACCCAGGAGUCUAUUCUGCCAUAGGAAGGAGUCCCUGAGGGCCACCAUAGCCUUAAAGGCUGUGGUGGGGUGUUUUCCUCCCUGCAGGUGGGCAAAGAGGUUUGCCGGACAAUCAAUGGUCAAAUCCUCCUGACACCACCAUUGGGUUUAGGACUCCAGGAAGGGGAAACUCACCAAUUGAAGGUGGGUGGUGGAUGGAGUUCUGGCGAUCGAGAAAAUGGGUUCAGGCCAUCCGGUGAGUGGCACUUCCGAAGGAAGAGGGACCCAAAAGUGGGUUUUAACCCUCUCUCGGGUUUCGGCACCACUGAAAGGAAAGUGACCACAACAUUCGGAGCAACCAAAAGAUCUUUAUUGCAGCAGUGCAACAAAGAGAAAAGAAAGAAGGAAAGAAGGAGAGAGAGAGAGAGAGAAAAGAGAAGAGGAGAGAUGAAGAGGGAGAGAGCAAGAGCAAGAGAGAGAGAGCGCGCACAAGAAAGACAAAGAGAGCAAGAGAGAGAGAGCAAGAGAGAGGGGGGCCUGGCAGGAGGGAGUUUUUAUAGCCCAAAUCUAAUGGGGCCUCUGGGUCUGCAAGCUGCCUUGUUGGCCCAAGGGGGGGCUAAGUGUUCAGCCUUGAGUGGGGUUGAAUGUUCAGACUUGAGGCAAACAGGUGAUAAAGGACCAGAUGGGGGGGGGGUUGAGUGCGUGGGCUAUCUUGCAGCCAACAUCUGUUCAGCCUGCCCCUCAGACAACACAGUUCAGCCUGCUCUGCACCCAACAUUAUGAGGAUUAAAUGAGUUCGUACAUAUAAAGUUCUU